rnacentral:rRNA from 1 species
GUGGAUUAGAUACCCUGGUAGUCCACGCCGUAAACGAUGGGUGCUAGGUGUCACGGGCUUUGACUCCUGUGGUGCCGUAGCCAACGCAUUAAGCACCCCGCCUGGGAAGUACGGCCGCAAGGCUAAAACUCAAAGGAAUUGACGGGGGCCCGCACAAGCGGUGGAGCAUGUGGUUUAAUUCGACGCAACGCGAAGAACCUUACCUGGGCUAGAAAAUGCAAGAAUCUGGGAGAAGUCUCGGAGUGCUCUUCGGAGAACUUGUAGUUAGGUGCUGCACGGUUGUCGUCAGCU